CUAACCCAGCCCACUUAAAGAAGGCUCUUCAGUGAAUAAAUAGCCCUGGCUGGGAGACGGUGGGUAGGAGAUCGCAGCUUUACUUCUGGUUCAGAUGCUAACUUACUGUGGGCUUUGGACAAAUCACCUCACCACUCAGCUUCGUCACUGUAAAAGAUGUGUCUCCUAUACGGUACAGUUCUGAGCUGAUAGAUGGAGAAAUCAUUGAUUCCAGUUGUGGCGACCUAGAAAGAGCUAAAGGAAGAAACUGAGACAGAAGGGCUGGUGGUACAUGCUGCAUCAGUGUGUGAACUUCCUUGCUACUAAACCGCAUUGACAUAGGCAGCAGGCAGGAUACAAAGCAGUGCCAGUUCCUCCCUGCUCCUGUUCCAGAUGGCUUCCAUAAUUACUUUUUGCAGAUAUGGUAACGGAACUUCAGGAUGUAAGUCAACAACAAAACGCAGCAGGUAAAUGGAACCCUGGAGUUUCUUGUGUUUUAUUGUGGUUAGUAAACAUAAGUUUUGGGAAUCAUUUUCUUAAAGUUGAAGCCCAGCGUUACACAGCCAACAACACUGCCCAAUAAGCACCUCUCCCAAGAGAGAUCUUUUAUCUUCAUUCCCUUGACUGAGGAUGUUCUCUGAUUUUAUGGCAGCGUUAUCUGUUUAAAUGUAUGAACAACUUGGGAGUAAUCAUGCUUCUCAAGAAACAAUGGUAAUUGUCAGGCUAUUCAGCAAGUGAAAUGAGAUCUUAGAAUGCUAAUUUUAAACACAUUUCCUUUGUGGAUUUUUAUAAAUAAAAUGUCAACUUUGGGAGGACAUUUCAUUUCUCAAAGUUAAUAUGGUGUAAAGCAUUCAAAUAUUUGCUCUAAAUUAGUCCUAAGAAUGACAACUUAAGAGAAUGGACUAAGCUUUCGUUAAUAGGUAUUGCAUGGGUAAGACCCUGGACAUUAAAGGAAAGCUGGUUUGUUUUUAUACCAUGUCUGGGCUUAGUAAAUUUAUUUAUUUAUGCUUAUUUUCAGUAUUCAGCACUGAUAUGCAAGUGAGAAUAACACUAGCUCACAGUUAUUGAGAAUUCAAUAUGUGUUAGUCCAUGCUCUUUGCUAUUUACCUGCAGUUUUUCAUUUGCUCCCAUAAUGAUCCUCUAUGAUUGAGACUACAAUUACCUCCAUUUUGUAGGUGAGUUCGUUGAAAGGGUUCAGCAGCUUUUUCUAGAUUAAAAUGAUAGUAGGUGGUGGAUGUUAUACUUUGACUCACAUUUACCUGACUUAAACAUUUAAACUUUAAUCAUUGGGCUAUUACCUAAUAUUUCCAAAUAACGGUUUUAGAACCCACUGGGUUUUUCUGGUUUUUGCUUUUUAAAAUUUUAUUUUUAAAUGUUUUUUUAGAUGAGCUAGUAAGUGUCUGCCUGACCUUGAAUUACUUUGAUAACGGAUUAGAGUAUGUGCUCUCUGCUUUAUAUUUAGCCAUUGAUGGUCUCCCAAAACCUAUUCGGAUCAACUCUUAGAUAACAACUUAUCUUCCAUUUCAUGUAAAAUUGAUUCUUACACUUCUUUUCUGUUUUAGCAAGGGAAACUCAUGGGUCUGUCCCUGUCACUGAAUGACAUUUUGCUUAACAACAUCUGACAGGGUCCACCACAGCAAAUCCCCAAUGUUGGCAACCAACUAAAAAUUAAAAUGAAGGUCGUUAUCACAGUAUGACUGGUGAAACUAAAUAAGUGAGCUAAAAAGUUAAGGGCUGGCAAGAUCUUACAGGCUCACUGUGGGCUCUCAUGCUUCAUUCAGGGCUGGCCUUGGCAACGGUGGGAAAUCAAUGGGGCUCAUCAUCUGGUAUGCUGGGUUUUCCUCUCUGCACAUCCCCAGCCUCUCCUAUCUUCUGAGCUCUUCUUUCUCCAGUGUUGCUUCCUUUCUUCCCUUCAGGUUUUCAAAAUCAUGCUGCUUUCUCUGGAUAAUUGGUCACUUUGGAAUGCCAUAGACUCUGCUAGGUGUUUUAUAUUUUAUCCAAUCCUGACAACACUUCAGGGCUCACUAAGUUUAAAUGGCUUCCAAGAUCACAAGCUCAAAGAGGGCUAAAGUGAGCUCUUAAUUUAGGGUUGCCAGAUUGCAAAGGUGAUAUUUUUGUUUCUAUGCAAUGGUCUCUUUUACUAAGCUGCCACAACUAUAACAUUCUCAGGAAAUAUUCUGGCUCCAGAUAUUUUCCUAGAAUGUAAAUUUCAGUAAAGAUAUGAUAUUUCUUCUCACAUAGGGACCUGCUUAUAUUUUAAGGGUUCUAUCUUACUGGUGAAUGGAAAUUUGCAUCCUUCUCUGGAUAUUUUAUACAGCAGUCGGCAUUUGGGAAAGUAUUUUUUUGAUCAGCAGAACUCUCCUGUGCUUUUGAAGUGGUCUCAAGUGGGAAAACACCUAUCUUACUUAUGUGUAAGGACAACAUUGUUUUUUAUCAUGAUAGAACAAUAAGAAGACUUAUAUUUUGGAGUCUUUUACUACAUAAAGGAGGAUCUACCUUCUCUUGGGAAUAAAAAAUUUAGAGUCUUCCAAGGGUCCUCCAACUGGACAAGUUGUGUUAUGACCAUCUAGGCUUUCCUUCUUUCUAAUCUCUUACUUGAAAACUAUUCCUUAGAAUAGAUUUGAAAGGGAGGAGAUUUAUGUAUGUAUGCAGUGUAUGUAUAGAUGUGUGUAUGUAUGCUUGUAUAUAUUUAUUAAAUUAGUGUUAUCUUUCAUGCAUUUUAAAUUGGGAAAUAAAAAUAUCACAUGUUGAUUAGAAAUUGAUGGAAAAAGAUGUAAAAAAGAGGGAAGCUCAUAAAUAAGGAAGUUUUAUGCCAGCUUUGCUUUUUCAUUCUAUCACUUUGUUAUUAAGGAAAGCAGCUGG
ensembl:lncRNA